rnacentral:miRNA from 1 species
AGUGGAACUUCUGGGUCAUAUGGGAACUCUAUGUUUAACCUUUUGAGGAACUGCCAAACUGCUUUCCAAAGCAGCUGCACCAUUUUC